rnacentral:misc_RNA from 1 species
GAUGAAGAACGUAGCGAAAUGCGAUAAGUAAUGUGAAUUGCAGAAUUCAGUGAAUCAUCGAAUCUUUGAACGCACAUUGCGCCCGCCAGUAUUCUGGCAGGCAUGCCUGUUCGAGCGUCAUUUCAACCAUCAAGCCCCAGGCUUGUGUUGGGGGCCUGCGGCUGCCGCAGCCCCCUAAAAGCAGUGGCGGGCUCGCUGUCAUUCCGAGCGCAGUAGUUACAUCUCGCUCUGGGUGUGGCGGCGGGCACCUGCCGUAAAACACUUCUAAGGUUGACCUCGGAUCAGGUAGGAAUACCCGCUGAACUUAAGCAUAUCAAUAAGCGGAGGA